UGAGAGRGUGACCGGCCACACUGGGACUGAGACACGGCCCAGACUCCUACGGGAGGCAGCAGUGGGGAAUAUUGCACAAUGGGCGCAAGCCUGAUGCAGCGACGCCGCGUGAGGGAUGACGGCCUUCGGGUUGUAAACCUCUUUCAGUAGGGAAGAAGCUUUCGGGUGACGGUACCUGCAGAAGAAGCGCCGGCUAACUACGUGCCAGCAGCCGCGGUAAUACGUARGGCGCGAGCGUUAUCCGGAAUUAUUGGGCGUAAAGAGCUCGUAGGCGGUUUGUCGCGUCUGCCGUGAAAGUCCGGGGCUUAACCCCGGAUCUGCGGUGGGUACGGGCAGACUAGAGUGCAGUAGGGGAGACCGGAAUUCCUGGUGUAGCGGUGAAAUGCGCAGAUAUCAGGAGGAACACCGAUGGCGAAGGCAGGUCUCUGGGCUGUUACUGACGCUGAGGAGCGAAAGCAUGGGGAGCGAACAGGAUUAGAUACCCUGGUAGUCCAUGCCGUAAACGUUGGGCACUAGGUGUGGGGGACAUUCCACGUUUUCCGCGCCGCAGCUAACGCAUUAAGUGCCCCGCCUGGGGAGUACGGCCGCAAGGCUAAAACUCAAAGGAAUUGACGGGGGCCCGCACAAGCGGCGGAGCAUGCGGAUUAAUUSGAUGCAACGSGAAGAACCUUACCAAGGCUUGACAUGUUCCCGACCGGGCCAGAGAUGGUCUUUCCCCUUUGGGGCGGGUUCACAGGUGGUGCAUGGUUGUCGUCAGCUCGUGUCGUGAGAUGUUGGGUUAAGUCCCGCAACGAGCGCAACCCUCGUUCCAUGUUGCCAGCGGGUUAUGCCGGGGACUCAUGGGAGACUGCCGGGGUCAACUCGGAGGAAGGUGGGGACGACGUCAAAUCAUCAUGCCCCUUAUGUCUUGGGCUUCACGCAUGCUACAAUGGCCGGUACAAUGGGUUGCGAUACUGUGAGGUGGAGCUAAUCCCAAAAAGCCGGUCUCAGUUCGGAUUGGGGUCUGCAACUCGACCCCAUGAAGUCGGAGUCGCUAGUAAUCGCAGAUCAGCAACGCUGCGGUGAAUACGUUCCCGGGCCUUGUACACACCGCCCGUCAAGUCACGAAAGUCGGUAACACCCGAAGCCGGUGGCCCAACCCUUGUG
rnacentral:rRNA from 1 species